CCUACGGGAGGCAGCAGUGAGGAAUAUUGGUCAAUGGACGCAAGUCUGAACCAGCCAUGCCGCGUGCAGGAAGACGGCUCUAUGAGUUGUAAACUGCUUUUGUACGAGGGUAAACGCAGAUACGCGUAUCUGUCUGAAAGUAUCGUACGAAUAAGGAUCGGCUAACUCCGUGCCAGCAGCCGCGGUAAUACGGAGGAUUCAAGCGUUAUCCGGAUUUAGUGGGUUUAAAGGGUGCGUAGGCGGUCGGAUAAGUUAGAGGUGAAAUCCCGGGGCUCAACUUCGGAAUUGCCUCUGAUACUGUUCGGCUAGAGAGUAGUUGCGGUAGGCGGAAUGUAUGGUGUAGCGGUGAAAUGCUUAGAGAUCAUACAGAACACCGAUUGCGAAGGCAGCUUACCAAGCUACUUCUGACGUUGAGGCACGAAAGCGUGGGGAGCAAACAGGAUUAGAUACCCCAGUAGUC
rnacentral:rRNA from 1 species